CUCGUGGUCUAGACGGUUAUGACGUCGCCUUGACACGGCGGAGGUGGGUUCGAAUCCCGGCUGGU
rnacentral:tRNA from 1 species